rnacentral:rRNA from 1 species
UACGGGAGUGGCAAGCGUUAUCCGGAAUCAUUGGGCGUAAAGCGCCUGUAGGUGGUUUAGUAAGUCUGUUGUUAAAGCCUAGGGCUUAACCCUAGAAAAGCAAUGGAAACUACUAGACUAGAGUAUGGUAGGGGUAAAGGGAAUUUCUAGUGUAGCGGUGAAAUGCGUAGAUAUUAGAAAGAACACCGGUGGCGAAAGCGCUUUACUGGACCAUUACUGACACUCAGAGGCGAAAGCUAGGGUAGCCAAAGGGAUUAGAUACCCCUGUAGUCCUAGCCGUAAACGAUGGAUACUAGAUGUUGCGCUUAUUGUGCAGUGUCGUAGCUAACGCGUUAAGUAUCCCGCCUGGGGAGUACGAUCGCAAGGUUG